rnacentral:lncRNA from 1 species
ACACAUAAACAGGUAAACCAAAAUCUUCUUCAGCAAACAAUUUGGCAACACAGCACAUUCACUCUCAAUUCACAAUCCCAAAAAUGCACAAAUCAAUCGUUCUUGGAAGCACCCAUGUUCAGUUUCACCAAAAAGAACAAAAAAAAAAAAAAAAAAAACAAGAUCUCGCCAAUCCAGAAGUUGACAUGGCACAAUUCCAGAAAACAAGAGGCGGUUUUAACGAGGAAGAAAAUGAAAAAGCAGAAAAGAAAAAAGAAAUGAAUGAGUGGUGAAACAAGAUGUAAAGAACAUACCAAUAGGAACGAUUCGAUCCUGCUCGUCGUCGGGACGUUCCAUAAGAACAGAGAUCCGGGAAGAGAAGUAAGGUAGAAAAUCAGAAAGAGAAGCAGAUUGAGAUGGAAAAUUGGAGGUGGAAGAAGGGGGGAGGAAAAUCAAACGGGAAAAUUUGAGAGGGAUUUUGGGAUUUGAAUGGAAGAGAAUAAAAAGGGUUUUAGGUUUUACGAGCCAAUGAUUUUUACCAAAUAAAAAAGAAAAGAAAAGAAAAGAAAAAAAAUUGAAUCGGAGAAAUUUGGCUGUCUAUGGCGGUUUGUGCUUAAAAACGUUUGCUGGCGGAGGCCCAAAAGUAAUCCCCAUGCCGAAGACCUUCCUCUAUAAACAUUUAAUUCCUUUUUUCAAAAAAACAAAAAGUCAUACAUAAAAAAGAUAAUUCAUAUAUUCUCCUCAACAUUAUUUCAGUAGAUAAAUAGCUCAUUUUUGGGAAGAAGAAGAAAAGAAUAAUUGAGCUUUUUAUGUCUAUCUUCUUAACAAAUUUAGUGUUUUUUAAUACAUAUACAAUUUCUGUAUAAAAGAGAGUAUAUUAAACUAAUAGAAGACAAUAAUUUUAAAUUCAAUUAUAAAGUAGCUUAUACAUUUCAAAGUUUUAAAAAAUAAAGUAAAGAAAUAACAACAUUUUCAAACCUAUCAAAAUAUUUAUAAAAACAUAAUAAGAUUUUAAAUCUUUCACUAAUAUAUUAGAAAAAAUGGAGAAAAGCAUAUUGCAAAAAGAAAAAGAAAAUUGUAACAAUUUUUUAGAAUAAGAGAUAAGAGAAAGGAAAAAAAAAGUUACCACAUAAAGUUGGGAGCAAAUUUUAGUUAAAUGAGUUUGAUUCGAUCUUAACAAAAAAUCAAAACUAAAACUAAUUAAUUAUUUUUAAUUUAAUGUGCCUUUAGUGGGAGCAUAACGAACAAAAUAUUGUUGCCAUUCAAAAUUUCAAUAUAGUAAGAUUAUUCCAUGAUUUAACGUGAAAUUAUUUAAGAUGUUUCGUUACCAUCAACUGGGUGUAUUUGGAUUAUUUAUUGAAAAAAUGUUUUUCAAAAGUACAUUUCAAUUUAAACAGUUCCUUGAAAAUAAGUUUAAAAUUUAAACGCUUACAUGUUUAGUUAGAUAUUUUUAUAAGUAUUUAUAUAUUCAUAAUUUUGUUUGUAUACAAAUUACCAUAAAGGCAUACUAAACCCUAAUUUUAUAAAUAAACGUAUAUUUUGAUUUUUUAGAAAGAAAUAUAUUUUGAAAUUAAUGGCACGAUAUCUUAAAACUAUUGAUUGUUUUAGAAAUUUGAAAUUAUUAAAGUUAAAACGGAGCCUUAUUAUUGUUUUUUUUCUUGGUAUUAAACAUUUUUAGAAAAUUUUAUUUUAGAAGCAGAAGUAUAUCCUAAUAUUUAAAUUUAUAAUCAUAAAAAUUAAAAUUGAUCACUAACAACAAAACAUAAUAAUAAUAAAUUUUCUUAAAUAAUAUAAUAUCAACUAGACCUGAGAAGUUGUGCAACUCAAUCACGUUCUUCAUUUAUCUCUAUUUCACGAAUUGAACCUCUAUGUUCUUCAUUAACGUCUCAUAAUUUAUUUCAUCAUUUGAAGGUGGUAGCAUCUCGUCGUCGCCUUGACCUCAAAAUUUGUUUUUGAACAAACCCUUAUAAAGUUAUGAAGAGCCAUUGAAGCAACAACAAUUUUUACCUGUUUGUCAAAUGGAAAACUAUGCAUUUAUCUAACAAUUCUCCAUUUAUCUAACAGUUCAAGAUCUUCAUUACAAAUUUGUAACCAGUGUGACAAGAUGUCCUACAAGGCUCUUUGCAAACAUGCAUCACAAAACGAUGCACUAUAGCACCACAUCUCAAUUUUACUAAUUGAUCAAGUUCAUAUUCAACAUCACUUUUGUUAGAAUGAUCAUUGUUAUCAGUAUUGUAAUAAUCAUAUGACAUUUGAAAAGCAUAAAGAAAUUGAAAAACGAAUUGAGAAACCAAAGAUCCUAACAAUUUGUUAACGAUAAAACAUUCACAACAAAGGUAACACUCCACAACAGUAAUUGUCUAAACAAUUAAAAGUCAUACUAUUCAAAGAAACAUUUCCUAUAUAUUUAAGGUCGUCAAACUUUCUUUUGCUCCAACCAUAUGCAACUUGAAUCUCAGGCUUUUGUAAUACUACGAACAUUUCUCUAUUUUCAUUUUUCGUAAUGAUAUCUACAACUUUUGUAAAGAGAGAAAAAAAAAAGUUUCUACAUUUUAACCCUUUAAGAUAAUAUUGGUUUUUUACAUGUGCAAUUAUUGACAGAAUUCUUAAUCUAGUUUACCAUAUAUUAAGAAUAAUUUUUAUAAAUGAGUUUGAGUACAUCGAGCACACAUCAAGCGAUAACAUAGUUAAAACAGCUUAAAAUACCGUAUAGUCCACGAGGAUCAAACCAACAAUUUAUGUUUAGCUAUUUUUGAACCGAACCAAUUUUAGCCAAGAAAUAGAAACCAAAAUUUUUAACAAGUGAAAUUUAAAAAUAAAGUAAAUUUGACAAACAAAUGUUUCAACGUUAAGUUGAAGGCAUUCUAGGGUGUUGAUUUCAUUCCAAACUAAGUUGAUAGUAUUUUAGGUUAGUAAUGGAUUCUUAUGCUUAACUCUCGAAACUAAGAUCCAUAUUAUUUUAUUUCACAAACAAUCUUUUCUUUUGCAACCUUAAAUAAUAAUUGUCGCCACGUGCUCGAGACGGUCCGAAGUGGGCGACGUUCUUAAAAUGAGUUAGUUUUAAAAUAAAAUAGGAGUCUCUACCAAUCGUUUUUACAGCGUGAUUGGACAUCAAAAUAAAGUCAAUAAUUUUUAAAUUAAUUCAUAAAAAAAUUGUCUCAAAAAACUAGAGUUAAGUUCGGAAGUCAUUUGUAUAUAAGAAAUGUGCUAGCAUCCCACAACCCCCGUUUAGAAAAUGGUGGCCAAAUUUCAAAUCUUAAAUUGUAAAUAUUCUUUAAUUUCUUUUAAAACUAGUGUCUUAUUUUACUUCUCAUUACUCCAAUAUUUGAAGCAAUAAUUUCAUAAAAUAAGGGAGAUCAUUUCAUCAAUUAGACUAUAUUGACGAAAAUUUUCUCACCUCAAGAAAGUGAGAAAUCAGUACAAUUUCUCAAAAUCUAUCAUAGGAAUAGCCUCUAAUAAAAAAGAUAUUUUUUUUAAACAUUAAUUCAAAUCGUUUUUCUUGUGAUCAAAUCUUGGACUCCCAAAUAUGUGGUCCCUCAUCUCAAGAAGUCUAGAAAAUCGAACACUCAAAUUUCCUAGAUUCCGUCAUAGAAUUUUGUUUAAGAAAAACAGUAUAAGUUAUUAGAAAAAUUGAUUAAAAAAACCUUAUAAAAACAUAGAUUAAAUUUUGAAUGUUUGAAAAAUAUAAAAUUUAUAAAUUUAAAAAAUAAAUCUAAAUGAUUUAUAUAUAUAUAUAUAUAUAUAUAUAUAUAUAUAUAUAUAUAUAUAUAUAUAUAAAAAGAUUUUUGUGAGAGAUUUUAAAACUUGAAAAAUUUUAAAUUAAAAAGAUUUUAAAACGUUGAGAAUUUUAACUAGAAAGAGUUGAAAACUUUAAAUAGAAAACAAAAUUAGACUUAAUAGAAAAAUUAGAUAAGUAGAAACAAGAAGCAUCAUUAUUAAUUAUUAAUUAUGCAAACAUAUAUAAAAUAACAUAUUAAAAUUUUAAUAAAAAAAAAUACAUUGGAGAUCGAUCUCGAACUUCCAAAGAAUUGAUUUUCUCACCUUAGAAUUCUAAAAAAUUGGAUUCCCAAAUUUUCUAUUCUGUCGAUGGAUAUUUUUUUAAAAAAAUUAAUUGAAAAUAUUAAAAAGAUAAACAACUAUUAGCAAGAAUAUAUUAAAUGAAUUAUAAAACAACACACAAACAUUUAAUUCAGUAUAUAUAUAUAUAUAUAUAUGUAAAAAAUGUAAAAUAAACAAUAAUCUAUAAGUAAAAUAAAAUAUAAAACAAAAUUACUAGAAAACGAACAAGAAAGUAGGAACAAAUAAUGACUAAGAUAAAUAAAUAAGUAAACAAGAUAUAAACCAAUGUACCUAAACAAAUAAAUUUGAAAAAAAUUAUAAGAGAAGAAAAAUGAGAAAUAAGAACAGGAAAGAUAAACAAAUAACGAGAAAAAAAAAUAUUAAAUAGUAUAUAAAAAUGAGAAAAUACUAAAGAUACAUAAAUAGUCGAUGCUAUGAAGAAAAAAAUUAAAUAAACAAAAAUGCUUAUUACAUAUAUAUAUAUAUAUAUAUAUAUGACAGUAAAGAUACCAUGUAUAGAAAAUAAAGCUUAAGAGUAAAUUAACACAGGAAAGACGUAAUAAUAUAUAUAAAAGAGAAACUCUAAUAAAUAAAUAAUUACGAGAGAAAGAAAAGUAGAGAUAUAAGAACAAGAAUAAUAAGUAAAUAUUUAAUCAUUUUAGUCUUUAAUUUUUUUCUUUAUUACAAAGAAAUUUAAAUAUCGAAGAUUCAACCUCUAUGUUCUUUUGUACGCCCGUGUUUAAGUUUGUGGUUUCGGCCAUAAGACUCAAGGAAGCGCAGUGAGUCUGUUGGUCAGUAGUAAUCCUCCUUAGCACAUACUGAUACAAAUCCUUGAUCUGAGAGUUAAUAAAUUUUUUAAAAUUAAAGAUUUAUAGUAUGAGAAUUUAAAAUUUUCUCAAAUGUGUAAUUUCCUAAGAAAAAUUUUAUCUUCUAAAUCCGAACUAGAUAUACCAGUCUUAGCAAUUUUACGUGACAAACGUCACAAAGACUUUUCAAACUCUUUAUCAGAUAUAAUUGAAUCAAAUUUGGCCAAUGAUCCUGCCUAUUUUAACUGCUUCGUCCCUUGGUAGCCCACACAUUCUCUAAACCUUAAGCCUUGAUAUCACUGGCCAAGGAUUAAACUUCGAAGAAAGCGUUAAAAACUAACCCUUGUUUACAAAGUUACUUACAAAAUUUUAACGACUACCAUGCAUCCAAAAGCAUUGAUGUCUUCAACCAAAGGAAAAACCAUGUUGAUUGAAACAAAUCUAAAAAAAAUCUUUUGUUAGUGUUCCAUAACUUCUUUCUUGGGAAGAAGUUACCAAGAUUCCUCAUUAGGUUUUAGACAAGGCUUUUGUCCCUCAAAAGAAAGAGAAUGAACUUUCCCAUAUAAUUGUAAAAAAUAUAAACUCAACACACUUCACAUACUAAGUCCGAAAAAACAAACCAACCAGGUACCAUACAACCUUAGCCUCAAUUUGCAGUCAGGUAGUCAAUAGAAAUCUUAGAAAAUCACAUGAAAAAAUUAAAACGUGUCUGCUUAUCUUUAUCUUGCACAAAAAUCAAGCUUACUUAACUUGUUUGUGGAAAACUGGAAAUCUUAAAACCAUACUUGUUAAUACAUACUUUUCUUAAAAUGAUAUGAUCAUUUCAACUUCUUUUCAAAAACUCAAUAUUCAUGUGAUCACAUAUAAAUUUCAUUAAGAAAUCUAAGCUCAAAAUUCAUCCUUGAAACUAAUCAUACAAAUCAUGAUUUGAUCAUAAAUUCAAAAUCAAGCAUGUAAAACAUUUUAUCAUAAAUAACAGUUUUAGAAAUCAUUUUCAAAACUUAUUUUGUCACUCAUAGUUUUGAGCUAGUUUCCUAGUCUAUAAACUUGGCUGAUCAAACAAACCAAAAUCGAGCAUUAGAACCCUAGAUAUUCUUGUCUUGGUAGGAUAAUCUUAAAAUGACGUACUUCUUAUAACAUAUUUAAGAGGACAUACUAAAAAUGUUGCUAAUGAAUUCCAAUCUUAAGAAAUAAAAUCACAUUUUCACACUUUUUACUAUAACUUUCCAAAUUCAGUAUACAAACUUUAAAUAUUCAUAACCUCCUCAAUACUAAACCAAAAUGGGUGUACCUUGUACCAAAUUCUUGAUUUUGAAGCUCUCUAUAACUUACACGAAGGAAUGAAGAUCAGAUUCCUAGUGGAUUGGCCUAGAAAUCCCCCAAAAUAAAGCUACUUCAAAUUCACGUGUUCUACAACCUUCUAUCUUCUUCUUGAAAUUAAAAACCUAUUUCUAGUCAUAUUUGGCUCAUGUGAUCUUUGAAGUUGUAGGACAUUGAAUAAUAUUUCAAACCUUACCAAACAAAGCUUCUCAUUCAACUUGUACACUUUGAGCUACUAAAAAAACUAGAGGUUCUUCAGUUUUGCAUGAGAAUCCAGUUAUCUGUCUUUUCCUUGAAAAUUAAUUACCGUUCAUAAUUUGCCCAAACUUCCUGCAUGAAGUUUGUUAGAAAAUUAAUUAACUUGCAAACAAGUCAGGGCCACACCUUUUAGUUCUUGUGUAGCUUAAACAGAAUUAGAAAUCAGAGGUAUCACGAAUGAAAUAAAAAACUGUCAUGGCUGCCAUUUCUUGAGUUUUCCUCUAUCAUCUUCAACCUCAAAACAUCAUAACUUCUUGUUUUCUUUCUUCUCAAUCUCUCCCUUGAUUUUGCUUUGAAGUUUGAAGAAGAAACGAUGGAAAAUGGGUGGGAAAAUGGAUGAGAAAAUGGUUUGACAGUGGGGUGAACACCCAUUUAACCAAGCACCAAAUGGACUUCUUCUUUUCUUUUUCCUUUCUUUUUUUUCCUUUUUAAUUAACUUCCCUUUUUUCUUUUCUUCAAUUUCUUUUUAUAAUUAAAAUCAACUUAAAAAAUUAACUCCAAAUAAAACUAGCUUUGAUUUGUUUUUUCAUUUCCUACAAUAAAUCAUCAAUAAACUUACUACCAAUAUGUGAUUGAACAAAAGAGUAGAAAUGUUUGGUUUUGGUCAAGAAAAGUAAAAGAAAGAAAUGGGGUUUUUGAGUUUUUAAGAUUUUCAGGGUACAAGAAAUAAAUGGGGUUUUCUCUCAAGUGUGAAUGGGAAGUUCUAGUAAUCUUUCCAUCAUUAAAUUAACAAACGAUAAUAUUGCCAUCAAUUUCAAUCCACACCUAAUUAGUUCAAAAAACUAAUUAAACUUAAUUAAUGAAUACACUUUCAUCUUAAAUGUUUUCAUACAUUCUUUAAGUUUGUAUCAAGUUUCUAUGUUUCAAUGUUGUGACGCUGAAAGUCUCUAUGUUAAUUAAUUGAAUUCAAUUGGAAGUUAAAAAAAUGAUCAAACGGAAAGAGAUAGUUUAAGAUCAAAUCAACACUUUUCAAUCAAUCUUGUUUCAAAAUUCAUGCUUAGAGCCAUUAAAGAUUAAACAAAGUUCAUGGUGAUCAAUUCAAUAAAACAAAAACUCAUAUCUUGGAAUUCAAAUAAAAAUUGAAAUCAGAAUGCAAUUAAGACGUAAUUCUCAAUGAAGAUUAACUAGAAAACUCAUUCACAAAGAAAGCACCUUUAGUUCAUGGCUUUUGGAGUAGCUUCAAGAAGAAUUUGGAACAAAAGAGACAUUCUUGAUGGAUUAAAGGAGAGAGUUUUAUUGAUGAAUUUGAGAGAGAAUUACAAGAAUUGAGUGCCCUAACUAAAGUGGAAGUGAAGUUUGUCUUGGACAUAUUUCUUGACCUUUCUAUAUUGUUUUCAAACUCAAAGUUUGUCUUGGAAACUAAUUGUUUGCAAACUUUAACUUAAGUUUGGUUUAAUGAUGCAAGUUGUCUACAAAGUAUAUACUUCUACGUGGUAUAUGUAUAUAUGUGAUUGUCAUCCGACAUUCAUCUUAUAUUUUGGUGAAAGGUAAUACUUAUAAAGCAUACUUUCAUAAAUAUUAGUUGGGCUGGGUUGAAUUAGAAUAAAUUCACACCGAAACAACUAAUCGGUCCGACUCUUCUCCCGUAGAAUGACUUAUUCCGAACGAUCUCUUGUGACUUCCAUCCAACUCAUGAUGUUCAAAACCUGCCUGGUACAAGAUUGAAGUAUUUAUUCUCCUCAAACAACAGGCUCAUGCAAGAGCUUCAGUUGAAGCGGAAGGAGAAGUUUAAGAAGUUGCUCUUUCUUGGUUCACGACCUGGAAAAAUUAGCUUCCAAUGAGAUGAUUUAAAAUUAAAUCAAAUACAUAUAAUUUUAAGACUAAAAAUUUAUAUGAGAAUAAUUUAAAUAUACAACAAUCAAAUAAGUUUUAAUAUAAGCCUGGCAAAAAAAAAAAGGAGAAGAUAAGAAGAAGAUAAUAUUGAAUAUUUAUUCUCAUAAUUGAAAAAUAAUAUAAUUCAAUAAGUUGAAAUAAACAGCAUUUAGGAAUUAAUUAAAUUGUAUCAAUACAAGUACAACUACAUGAUGUAUGUGUACUUGUGGUUUGAAUAUCAACAUAAGUAUUGAAGAGAAGGCAAUUCCUCGUAUUAAUACUUUAGGAUGUGUGUGGACUUGUGGUUUGAGUAUCAACAUAAGUACAGAAGAGAAAGCAAUUCCUCAUUCUAUAUGUUAUAAAAGAUGAGUACAUGAAGAGCAUACAUGGUCCUUGUGCGCACAAUUUCAAGUUGAAAAUGAAAAUGGUUGUGGUAGCUCGAGUCUUUAAGUGAGACCUUAACAAGUUCUCAAAAAUAGAGUGGUGAUGAGGAAACAAACAAAGCUACAGUUAUUGUUGUUUUAUAAAUGUUUAGAUUAGUAAGUAUAGAAAUAACAAUAACGGUCUUGAGAACAAGGUCUAGAAUCUUCAGAUAUCUUUGGGUGGCUUGAUGCAACGUCAAGAUUUUUGAAACAAUUAAAAUGAACAACAAGCACAACUAUAUGACCAUUAUGCAUAAUAUCCAUUCAAAACUCUAGAAAGAAUUCCACCCCAAUAAUUUUCUAAAAACCGAUAUAAAAGAAGAAACUACCUGAUCGAGUUAAUCAAUAAUUUAUCAAUAAAUUCAUGCUUGAGCGAAUUAAAACUCCAUACCUUCACUACCCCUUGUUGUGGUGUAAUAUUCUUAGGAAACAAAAACUUUAAAUUACAUUUAGUUAGUCCAAAUCGACAGUUCAAUAAUUUCCAAAGGGAUAAAAGAAAAUAAAACACACUCACUCAACUACACCUCCAACAACAAUUAAAACAAAGUCACUCAAGACAAACUGUAGCUAAUAUGGAGGUAGGCUAGAGAAAGUAAAGAAAGUGUAGCCAAUAUGGAGUAAAGAGAAAAUUCAUCAAACAAGUUGUAAUAUCUACCUUUGUAAUACAAUAGUAAGUCUUGGUAGCUUCCCAUAUUCUUCAAUCAUAGACAUAUUCUCUAUCAUUGUAAAAAAGGAAAACUGCAGAAAAAGAACUUUACUAAUUGAUUAACAUAACACUAAAAACCCAUAAUCAAUAGCAUAUAAGCAGGAAAAUAUCAUAACUUCGCUUUUCAAGCUUAUUCCUAACAAGAGUGCAGACGCAAAGUAAUGUACACUAUUGGUUUCUUCGAGUAGGACAAUUCAUUAUGACUAAAUGUACCACUGCUCAACAUUGACUCACUAAAAUUUUUAUAUAAACAGAAUCACAUAACAUAUAUAUUUCUUCAUAGAAACUCAACAAAAGUUCAACACAAUACCAGCUUGGCACUGCAAAUUUAUGGAAAAGAGGGAAAAUUGGAUACCAAUUUAUGGAUUUAAUUAGAUGAUUUGCAGAACAUUCCAAUGGCAGGAGUUUAAAAAAAGUGAACUUUAAAGUAUAAAGUGAACUUUAAAAAAAAACAUGAAAGAAGAAAAGAAGUAAAAUUACAAAAACUUAAAAGUAGAAGCUUGAACAUGUCCCAAUGAUCAAAUAACUUAAUCUACAAGUUUGGGAGAUGCUAUUUUCUUAAGUGGGCAAGCUAAAAAUAACUUAAAUUAUCAACCGCAACCACCAUUUCCAACACUCACACUCUUUCUACAAAACUAAUUGGGUUAAAUUCAG